rnacentral:snRNA from 1 species
AUGACUUUGGCAACAUUUAGACUAAAAUUGAAACCAUUCAGAGAAAAUUAACAUGGCCCCUGCACAAGGAUGACACAGAAAUUCAUGAAUUGUUUAAUUUUUUUU